GUUGGCACAGAUUACCUUGGAAGAACAUUUCCUGUGUGUAGCUGUAGUCUCUGAAGUUGUUUUUGAGGACAAGGACAUUUAGACUUUUGCGAGAAGGAUGUGGAACUGUCCCUCUGACUCCAUGGACGUGUGUAAAGGAACGAAUGAAUGUGCGAAUGCCUCCAUCUUGUCUCCCUGUUCCCUCUCUCUGUGCGUGCUGGAGAAGGCACCUCUCACCCCAGCCCACUUCAGGUGUGCUGGUUGCCUCCGCUGACGCUGGGGCUGCCCCUUUGUGGGGCGAGCACAACGGUCCCAGCGCCACCUAGCGGCCAGGGAGCCUGGGAGUUGCGCGUCUCGUUUCCCAGUCCAUGGGAUCCGCGGACUACGCCACCUCGCAGAGUUCCGACGCUCUGGCCACUGCCUCCGUCUGUUUUGUUCUCUCCGGUCCAGAGAGUGCGGAGACUUCCGGGGAGCGAACGUGUACGGGUUUCCAGAGUAACCCCGACAACAGGCAGUGAGAUGGCAGCUCUGAGCAGCUUGCUCUAGAACCAACUGUGCGUCCUCCACUUGGACCAAUACCAAUGGGAGAAGCUGGCCAAGCUCUGAGAAGCCGUGCACACCCAAGGAGCAGAGAUGCCAUGGCUUUUUGGUGGUAUUGGCAGGAUGAUACCAGAGGCUAAAUGAUAAGAGCUGAAUGAAUUCUCCAGGUUCCCAAGUCUUUGCUGCCUUUCAUUCUUGUCUCUUGGCCCUGGUCCUUGGCUCACCCUUCCCUGUCCUGUGCUGAGCGGGGUAGUGCCUGUGUGCUGAAGCUGUAGCUGGUGCUAAAAGGGGUUGGGGGAAGGCAGAGCCUGACCUGGAGUGGGGGCAGAGGUACUGGGGCCAAGGUAGUACGCCCCUUCUCCUGGUAGCAGCUAUGACAUUGAAAGGGGCACCCCUACUUUGCUCAGCCCUGGCUUCUGAUGUUUUAGGGUAGGCCCAAGUGGAGUGAAGGAGGGGCUUCUCACUGUCCUGCCACCAUCUGCUGGAGUCCCCUGAGCUGGCACCAGCCAACUGACUUCCAGCACAGUGUAUGAAGCAGCCUUGAACCCCUGGCCACAUCUGUCUUAGCUACACAUGAGGCCUUGUGAUGUGCUAGGGGCCCAUGGCCAGGUGAAGGGGAACAGAGUCAGAAGACAGUGCUCCUGUUCUCACCACCAUAGGCAAAGUGAAAAGGGAGGGAGGACAAGGUCCCAGGGAAGUGCAGACCCCUCAAUUCUGGGAUAUAUGAGUCAGAGAGUCGGCACGUUGGGGGGCAGUCAACACUCAGGUAUUUGGCUGCUCUGCUAUAGCCUGAGUCCACCCCUUCUUCCCUCUGAGCCCCAAGUCCAGGGCUGCAGAGCUUUCCCCAGCUCUGCCAGUCUAUGACUCUCAGUACCAGUGAUUUGUCUAACAGGCCUCGGGGAGGUGCCUUAACCUCGGUGCCUCAGAGUGGCAUAACAAUAGUACCUGUCUCAUAGGGUUAUUAUGGGGAUUAAAUGAUUUAAAUAUAAAGUGUACAGAAUGGCACCUGCCACACAGGAAGUGCCACAUAAGUAUUAGUUAUUAUAAUAAUUAUUAUUUCUCAGGCUAUUUCAAAGACCAUAGCAUGUUGUUUUAAGACUGCAGGCUUUGGAGUCAAGCAGACUUGGGUUGGAGUCCUAGGUGUUCCCCUUUUAGGCUCUGUGACCUUGGGAAAGCGGCUUCACACUCUGAGUCUGUGAAGUGGGGCUGAUCAUAACAUUACUGCCUUUGGAUGAGACAGCUAAGACCUGCUCAAUGGCUGUAAAACGCCUGCUGUGACAUUGCUUUGUCUUCUUGCUUGGAAAGUGGGUUUAGGACAGUCUCUGUGGGAGAAAGUAGGACUUGUGAAACACAGCUGUGACCUUCAGGAUGGCCAAAUUGUGCAGGAGAUUUCUUAUGCAGAGGGCUUGCUCUUGGCUGGACAAUGUGAAGAAUCCUCGUUUUGCUUCUCAGACACCCUGGGACCCAGGAACAGGGAGGUGGCAGGUAGGUGAUGGGGUUGGUCCUGCCUGGGCUUCUCCACAUGCUGUGGUUAGAGCCAUGAAGGACACAGGCUGGGCUUUACUGGGGAACCAGGUGCCUGCCGAUGGUGACACCACACUGAGGAGGCCCGACACAGAGAGACAAGUAAGCUAUGGAUCACUCCCUAGAGAGUCUUCCCCUACUGCCAGUCUCAGCUGGGUCCCCUGUUAAAGGCCACUACAGCUCUCCAUUCUUUGUAUCCCCAGCUCGCAUCACAAUUUUCCAAAUGUGAAAGAGGGGCUGUGGGUGUAGCUCAGUGGUAGGGCACAUGCUUAGCACACACAGGGCCCUGGGUUCCAUGCUCCAUCCUCAGUAGGUGAGGGAGGAAGGUAGGGAGGGAGGGAAUAAGGGAAGGAGGGAGGGAGAGCGGGAGAGAGAUUAUUUUAUGAUGUCUGAAUGGUUCAUGAAAAACAGCUCCUGGAAUAUAUGCCCAGUCGUAUUUACAUGACUGAAUAAAUAACAAUAGCAGUUAGUACUUACUUACCUUUUGUUAUGUGUCAACCAUUAUUCAAGAACCUAAUAUAUAUUAAUCAAUUUAAACCUCACAGUACUGCUAUGACAUAUCCAUUAAAAUCAUUUCUAAUUUCAGAAGAGGAAGCUGAGGCACAGAAAGAUUAUAUAACUUGCCCAAGGCCACACAGCCAUCAACUGGUGGAACUGGGAUUCAAUUCAGCCAGGCAGUUUGGCUGAGCCUUGGUUCCUACCACACUGUCCCCCGAGCUGUACCCCUUCCUGCCUGAUCUUUGCACCCUCAGCAUUUCUCUUCCUAAUUGCUUGGCUGACAGCAUGCUGUGUUCUUUCUCCCAGUCAGACCUCCCCCUGCCACAGUUAGCUCUCGCCCAGGCAUUCCCUUCCUUUGUCAUAUGCCUUCCAGGCUGGAUGUGAUCCAGGAACGCAAGAAGGAACAUGACCUCUGCUGUCCUCUUGGCGUCCUCCCCUGCUCUUCCCUGGGACUCCUGCUCAAGGCAGGGCAGGUCUCAGCACAGUCCUGCCAACUGCAGCACUGUUGGUCCUGUUGGUGAUGAAUAAGGUGAGAUAAGGACAGAGCCUGGUUUCUUCUAGAGGCAGGUGGGAGAUGGGGAGGGAUCCAGUUCUCUGAAGAGCUUAGCUUGAAUGUGAGUCUGGGCCAGAGUGGAAUUGCUGAGGACUCUCAAGGGGCACAGCUCUCCUGUGCAGAGGCCUCCUGCUCCCACCUCUGUCCCACUCACACCUUCAGGACUCAGCCUUGCCUCCAAACCCAAAGGGAACCCCCUUCAAGGAAACUGCAGGGCAGGUCCUCUGGCUCUAGCUGAAGGCAGAGAGCUGAGGCUGAUGACAGUGUGGCAGUAGACCUGCCUUCUGGUCUUACUCCAUUGUGCAUAUGAGAUCUGCCUCUAAGAGCCAAAUAUCUUCAUUUAUGGCACAGGGUAAGGUGGGGCUCGGAUUACAUGCUUCUGAAGUCACCUCUGGCUUCAGGAUUUGAAGAAGAUGGGGGUACUUAGGAAGCCCCUGGGAAUUUCCAACACAAAUUACCCCUGGGAACAUGAAUUGGAGGCUAGAAGGGGAAGUGGCUAUCUUGUCAUAGGCACAUUUCUUGUCUCAGUUAACAAAAAACAUUCUUCUUCUCUUCCUUCUCCUUUUACUUCUCCUCCUUUAUGGAAGAAACAUGGACUUUCAAAGGCCCAUUUACUUGGUCCAGGUUGCACAGUGGAAGAGGUAGAGACAAAAUCUGAUGUCAGGGAUUUGACUCAAAGUCAGUGCAAGUCUGAUGUCCAGUAUGUGAUUUGAGGUCAGUCCCGGGUCCACAGGUGAGGGGGAUUGGCUGGGGUUGGAGCAGGUAUUUGGAGGUCAUUGUGGUGACUGGGAUGCUGUCCAUAGUGUCUGGAGCAGGGAGGUUUUUCUCAUAGCUGGGGACUAUCACAUUCAGGGGCAUUAGCCUCUGGGGAGGAAGGAAGAAACUCCCUCACAGAGAGGCAGUGCAGCAGCCAUGGAGGUGAAGGCAGGAGAGGAUCUGAGCAGUGUUCAGGGAAGUUGGCAGCAGGGGUCUCAGGGAAGGGGACCCUAUGGGUGCCCCAUCCCCAGAAGUGUAACGGUGUCCAGUCCUGUGGGUUGAAGACCAUGGCAGUGCCCAAGGUCUCUGGGGCAAGGACUCAAACCACACACCUGCACAGACAUGCUCUGUCCUUGGCUGUCUACCUGCUGUCACAGAAGCAAACAGGCCUGUGCCUGGCCCACUCUGACAACAACACGUCAUCUCCUGGCACUUAUCUUGGCUCUCAGGUUCCCAGCCCUACCCACAUGCAGCCUGUGUGUGUGUGUGUGUGUGUGUGUGUGUGUGUGUGUGUGUGUGUGUAUCUUCCACCUUGGCCUGCAUAAUUCUCUCAAUUCUCUGCUGUUUAUAGGCCUCUCUUGGGUUUGUACAAACACAUGUGCACUUCACACACACACACACACACACACACACACACACACACCCCUCAGUCUAAACUCUGCUUCUCAGUCUCUCCAAUUCAUGUGCAGCCCUGGGUCCUGGAGAACCCCGUUCAUCUUUAAAGGGCCAGGGCUAUUUCUCUUCCCACUGCCUGCUGCCUCCUGCUUUCUUGUGGGCUCAGCUGUGGAGGGGUCUCUGCCAGGCCUGCUGUUGAAUUAGUCCCUGGAAGGUCUUAGGUUCCUGCCCCAGGCUCCAUGCAGGCUUCCCCCACCUGGCCACAGAGCUGGGCAGCCCCCUCCUGGAAGUGGCAUCCCCAGGAGCAGCUGGCCAAGGAAUGACCCUAUAGCUGGGGACAGGCAGGCUGGAAGGGCUUUGUCUGUCUUGGAUUCUUUUCUGUAAAAAUUUUUGUGUAUUUGCCAUGAUGUUCCAUUCAUUUCAGCUGAUGUCACUGUGGUGCACUGGAGCAUCACUGACAUCUGUGUCAAGCAGGAGUAGAGCCAUGACCCGGGAGUCAGGAACCCCUAGACUGGUUCUAGAGGAACCUUAGUUUCCUUAUCAGAUAGAGGAGGGGGUUGGAAGCAAUGGUCUUUGGUGGUUUCAUUCUAAAAUUUUGAGUCACCGUUUGUGGUGACAAAUGCC
ensembl:lncRNA